rnacentral:rRNA from 1 species
AUGCAUACUUGCAUCGAUCCAUCAACGACAAGCAAGGCUAGUUAUGAACUAGAGCUAGCCAACAAUGGGAGUCUCGGCGACGGUGGUGCCGUUGACGAAGAUGCGGACGCGGUUGGCGAUGAAUUGCGUGUCGCUGCUGGAGCCGACGGGAAGGACGAGGAUGUCAGCGCCAGGCUUGUCGCGGAGGAUGAUCGCCUUGGCCUCCUCGACGGGCAGCCCCACCACCUCCGGCCACGACGUCUUCUCCUCCGACGAACUCAUCGUGAUCGGUUGAUCGGUUGUUCAGGAUCAGAAGACUACUGCUUGUGA